UCCCAAAAAAAACUUAGGUUUCCGCGUCUAUUGUUUGACCGUCCAUCUUAUUUGAAAAAAAUUAAAAACAUAAGUCAUGCAUAAAGUAUUAUUCAUGUUUUAUCAUUUAACAAUAAUAAUAAUACUAAUCAUAAAAAAAUUUUAUAUAAGACGGACGGUCAAACGUUGGACACGGAAACCCAAGAAUUGAGUCUUU
rfam:Oryza glumipatula chromosome 6, whole genome shotgun sequence.